UUUAUUAAUAAAAUUUUAUCUAAAUAUAUCCAUGUGAGAUGUUGUUUUGAAGGAUUUAUUAUAAGAAACACUAUAGUGUAAUCGGAUUUUGAUUUAGAUAUUUAGUUUAGCAGCUAUGGCUUUUUAAAUUUUGUUGAUGAAAGUGGAGAAUAUAAUGAUGAGGUGGGCCCUGUAGGAUGGACAGCCUCUCUGCCAACCGCUAGCUAUGAGACUCUGAUCCUAUAGAAUAGACAGACUUUAUUCUAGUUUGUGCAUGCAUGUCUUAUCUAAAGAUGGCAAUGGGUACCCGACACACGAAACCUGAUGAGUUUUUCUCUAUUAGGGUAAGGAUAUGGGUCAACUUCGCUACCCGUGGGUUUGUUAAUGGGGCAAAAGCUAGACCCAGCGGGUUUAUGGGUAUGGGUCUAGGUGUGUAGUACCCAAACCCGCAAACCCAUGGGUUUUUAAAACCGGUUCACCAUAUCAUCAUACAAUAUAAUUAGUAUAUAAAGUACAAAAUGCAAGAAAAAUAAACGAAAUAGAGAACAUGCAUGCUCCAUACUUUUUUUUAGUAGAAGCUCCUUAUGUGAAAGUUGCAAAUCUCAUCGUUUCUUUUCUUUAAUUUCUUUCCUUUUUUCUUUCUUUUUUUUUCAUUUUAUAUUCCAUUUGAUUCUUUUUCUAUCUGUGUUGUGCUUUAUUUUUAUUUGCAUUUUUUGUUUUAUAUUAUCCUUUGUUCUGUAUAUAUUAUCUUUUUUGUUAUUGUCAUUAUUUUCAUUUUUUGUUUUAUAUUAACCUGUGUUUUGUAUAUUUUAUCUUUUUUCAUAUUGUUAUUAUUUUCUUUGAUGGUCACGUGCUGAUGUUCUAUUUUUUAUUUUUUUUCUUUUGAUUUUGUUUUUUCUUUUAAUUUUUAAUUAUGUUUUCUUUUAUUCAUGUUUUAUUUCUUAAUCUUUCUUUGUUAUUAAUCUUUUUUUUUAUCAUAUGCGAUGUUCUAUAAUACAUUAAGUGUUGUUUUAUGGUUAAUUCAGCGAUGUUCACUUAGUAUACAUACAAUGUUCUAUAAUGUAUUGAGUGAUGUUCUAUUGUGAAUUUAGUGAUGUUCGCUUAGUACACAUGUGGUGUUGUAUGAUAUAUCUAGUGAUGUUCACGUAAUAUAUAUACGAUGUUCCAUAAUGUAUUUAAUAGUGUUCUAUAGUGUAUUUAGUGAUGUUCAGUUUAGUACACAUGUGAUGUUUUAUAGUUUAUUUUUAGGAUAUUUUAAAACUAUCCAUAUGAUGUUCUUUUAAAUUUUUCUCUAUUACGUAUUUUUUUUCUUAUGCUUUGCUCUAGAUUUUAUUUUUUUGUUUACAUGAUGUAUUUAUUUAUUUUAAAUAUUAUAAUAUCAGUUUCAUGAAUCUAAACUAGAACACUAUUUUUUAAAGUGAGAACAUUUUUCUUACAAAGAUGGAACAUUUAUUUUCUGAACCUAGAACAUUGUCUAUCAUAAAUAAAAAUGUUAUAUCUUUAUAAGAUAAAUGUUUAUUAAUAAAAUUUUAUCUAAAUAUAUCCAUGUGAGAUGUUGUUUUGAAGGAUUUAUUAUAAGAAACACUAUAGUGUAAUCAGAUUUUAAUUUAGAUAUUUAGUUUAGGAGCUAUGACUUUUUAAAUUUUGUUGAUGAAAGUGGAGAAUAUAAUGAUGAGGUGGGCCCUGUAGGAUGGACAGCCUCUCUGCCAACCGCUAGCUAUGAGACUCUGAUCCUAUAGAAUAGACAGACUUUAUUCUAGUUUGUGCAUGCAUGUCUUAUCUAAAGAUGGCAAUGGGUACCCGACACACGAAACCUGAUGAGUUUUUCUCUAUUAGGGUAAGGAUAUGGGUCAACUUCGCUACCCGUGGGUUUGUUAAUGGGGCAAAAGCUAGACCCAGCGGGUUUAUGGGUAUGGGUCUAGGUGUGUAGUACCCAAACCCGCAAACCCAUGGGUUUUUUAAAACCGGUUCACCAUAUCAUCACACAAUAUAAUUAGUACAUAAAGUACAAAAUGCAAGAAAAUAAACGAAAUAGAGAACAUGCAUGCUCCAUACUUUUUCUAGUAGAAGAAAGUUGCAAAUCUCAUCGUUUCUUUUCUUUUAUUUCUUUCCUUUUUUUCUUUCUUUUUUCAUUUUAUAUUCCAUUUGAUUCUUUUUCUAUCUUUUUUGUACUUUAUUUUUAUUUCCAUGUUUUGUUUUAUAUUCCAUUUGAUUCUUUUUCUAUCUUU
rnacentral:lncRNA from 1 species